rnacentral:rRNA from 1 species
UACGAAGGGGGCUAGCGUUGCUCGGAAUCACUGGGCGUAAAGCGCACGUAGGCGGACUCUUAAGUCAGGGGUGAAAUCCUGGAGCUCAACUCCAGAACUGCCUUUGAUACUGGGAGUCUCGAGUUCGGGAGAGGUGAGUGGAACUGCGAGUGUAGAGGUGAAAUUCGUAGAUAUUCGCAAGAACACCAGUGGCGAAGGCGGCUCACUGGACCGUAGUUGACGCUGAGGUGCGAAAGCGUGGGGAGCAAACAGG